AGUAUCUGAUCUGGUUUAAAGAUUAAGCCAUGCAUGUCUCAGUAUAAGUCUUCACACGGCGAAACUGCGAAUGGCUCAUUAAAACAGUUAUAGUCUAGCCGCAAGUCAAACGGUAUAUGGACAACUGAGGAAAAUCUUGAGCUAAUACAUGCGAACAAACCCGACUUCGGAAGGGUCGUAUUUAUUAGAUACAGAACCAGUGGCCUCGGCCUUAUGGAUGAUUCAUGAUAAACGAACGGAGCACGUGCCUUGUGGCGGUGCUAAUGCGGUCGAGUUUCUGACCUAUCAGCUUUCGACGGUAUGGUAUUGGCUUACCGUGGCAUUGACGGGUAACGGAGGAUUAGAGUCUGAUUCCGGAGAGGGAGCCUUAGAAACGGCUACCACAUCUAAGGAAGGCAGCAGGCGCGCAAAUUACCCAAUUCCGAUACGGAGAGGUAGUGACAAGAAAUAACAAAGCAGGCGCAUCGCGUUCUGCUCUUGGAAUGAUUGCUAGUUAAAUCUCAGCAAGACUAUCCACU
rnacentral:rRNA from 1 species